UGGUCGCCCUCGGAUGGAUCUGCCUCAUCGCCGCCCAGCAAGGUCUGGGAAUCUUCUUCGUGAAGGAGCCGCAGUCGGUGGUGGCGCUGCCCGGUGGCGAGGCGGUCCUGACAUGUGCCACCAACCUGGCCGUCGACCACCUCGGAUGGCUGCGCGACUGGCAGCCCCUGGAACCUGGCAGCGACCCGACGAUAGACGUGCGACC